rnacentral:rRNA from 1 species
UACAGAGGGGGCAAGCGUUGUCCGGAAUUAUUGGGCGUAAAGAGCUCGUAGGUGGCCUGUCGCGUCGGCUGUGAAAACUCGGGGCUCAACUCCGAGCUUGCAGUCGAUACGGGCAGGCUAGAGUUCGGCAGGGGAGACUGGAAUUCCUGGUGUAGCGGUGAAAUGCGCAGAUAUCAGGAGGAACACCGGUGGCGAAGGCGGGUCUCUGGGCCGAUACUGACACUGAGGAGCGAAAGCGUGGGGAGCGAACAGG